GGCUUGUGGAUCCGUGGUAGAGCGCUCGCUUAGCAUGUGCGAGACCCUGGGUUCGAUCCUCAGCACCA
rnacentral:tRNA from 1 species